rnacentral:lncRNA from 1 species
GCUGGCAGUUCUGUGUCGCUAGGCUUCGGCCCGGCCGCCGCCACACAUAAGCUGCGAUGAGGAGCUUUACGACUUCCCGGUCUUCGGGGCCGGGCGCAGCAAGGGCCAGACUCUGCGCUAGCAGGCGCUGCGCGCCAACCGGCCGGCACCUGUCGCAGAAGGUGCAACCGAUCGCACUGUCGCGCAGAAGCUCCUCAAUGGCCAGCACCAGCUGCAGCCCCGGCCGCCCACUCGCCUCACUUGAGCCUGCUGGCAGCCUGCUAUCAAUUAUAUUGAUAGUAAAUUUGAGGACUACCUAAAUGCAGAAUCGCGAGUGAACAGAUGUCAGAUGCCUGGUAACAGGGUGCAGUGUUGUUUAUACUUCAUUGCUCCUUCAGGACAUGGGUCAGUAACCUGAUA